CACAAGUACAACUCAGAUCUAGUUUAGUUUUUGAAAGAUUCUUAAGGGGCUGAAAUUUAGUUUUUCAAAGUUUAGGGGAAAGCAAAGAACUUUUGUUGCCGUUAAAGACCAAAUCAAUCUACAAAUCAGAUCUACAAUUGCCCCAAAUCGGAUUGAGUUUGUAGAAUUCACUAAUUCGAUUCACGGGGUCGAAGAAAUUGAUUCAGUGUAUUAUCAGAUUCCAUGCUUCUUGAAAUUAUCUUUUGUUUAUCCUUCACAAAAGGCGCCAUUAGAACAGGUACUCUCCAAACGAUGGAAACAUCAUUGGACUGAGGUUCUACUCUAAUUUUCGAACAUCUGAUGAUAAUCACGAUGUCAUUUCGUUAUUAGUGUACCUGUUCUAAUGGCGUCUUUUGUGGAGGAUAGUGAUGGUAAUCGCAAUUUCGUUUCAUGAAGCACAAUAGAUUCAAUGUGUAUAUCGGUUAUGAUAUUUGAUUUGAAUCACAACUCAACGAUUGAAUUCGUUAUGCUAUAAGUUAUAACGCUGAAGGAGCUUAAUUUAACGUUAUGUAAUACUGAAUCCAAAGCAGAGUUUCUGUUAGAUCAAUCUUUUUUUGUAAACUUUUAGAUUGAAUGAUUGUUGUGGCUAUAGACGGAUUGAUAUUGCUUCAAAUAGCGUUAAGAACCAGAUAUUAUCUGGAUACAUGGUUUCAUGUGAUGAAUCUGAAGCUCAUAGAUUAUAUAGAAACAGCGAGACAACGCUUAAAGAAGCAAAGGAAGAGCUUGAAAUUGGGGUUUCUGUUAUAAGUGAACUACUAUCGAAUGCAUGCAUGUAAUUGGAGCUGCAUGUAAAAAUCCGAAGCUUGCUUUAUGGAGAGUUUAGCCGAUUGUGAUGGUCUUGAUGGAGGCGGCGUGACAAUGAAAGAAUAUGGAGGCGGCGAAACAAAGAUUUAGGGUUAGGUUAUCACAGUUCAAAAGGUUAUAUGGAUUAUACUUUACUUUAAGUGUAAAUUCAUUUUUGUCCCUCUACUUUACAAAUAUUAUUAAAACAUAUUUAUUUA